rnacentral:rRNA from 2 species
CGUGUAGGCGGCUUGACAAGUCAGAUGUGAAAUCCCUGGGCUUAACCCAGGAAGUGCAUUUGAAACUGUCAGGCUAGAGUAAGGGAGAGGAAAGUGGAAUUCCUGGUGUAGAGGUGAAAUUCGUAGAUAUCAGGAGGAACACCGGUGGCGAAGGCGACUUUCUGGCCCUAUACUGACGCUGAGACGCGAAAGCGUGGGUAGCAAACA